rnacentral:misc_RNA from 1 species
GUGAGUCAUCGAAUCUUUGAACGCAUAUUGCGCCCUUUGGUAUUCUGAAGGGCAUGCCUGUUCGAGCGUCAUUAUCACACGAUCAAGCUUUGGCUUGUUGUUGGGCCCUUUGUCACCGGGUGACAGGUCCAAAAGAUAAUGACCGGUGUCGUACAGACUCUCUAUGCAACGAGCUUAUAAACAGCACGCAUCUAGUAGUCUGAUGGCCCGGUUGUCACCCUUUUACUUCUCAAGGUUGACCUCGGAUCAGGUAGGAAUACCCGCUGAACUUAAGCAUAUCAAUAAGCGGAGGA